rnacentral:rRNA from 1 species
UACGGGGGGGGUAAGCGUUGUUCGGAAUUACUGGGCGUAAAGGGCUCGUAGGCGGCCAACUAAGUCAGACGUGAAAUCCCUCAGCUUAACUGGGGAACUGCGUCUGAUACUGGAUGGCUGGAGUUUGGGAGAGGGAUGCGGAAUUCCAGGUGUAGCGGUGAAAUGCGUAGAUAUCUGGAGGAAUACCGGUGGCGAAGGCGGCAUCCUGGACCGGCAUUGACGCUGAACAGCGAAAGCUAGGGGAGCAAACGGG